rnacentral:rRNA from 1 species
UACGAAGGGGGCUAGCGUUGCUCGGAAUCACUGGGCGUAAAGCGCACGUAGGCGGAUCUUUUAAGUCAGGGGUGAAAUCCCAAGGCUCAACCUUGGAACUGCCUUUGAUACUGGGGAUCUCGAGUCCGGAAGAGGUUGGUGGAACUCCGAGUGUAGAGGUGAAAAUUCGUAGAUAUUCGGGAAGGAAACACCAGUGGCGAAGG